rnacentral:rRNA from 1 species
UACGUAGGGUGCGAGCGUUAAUCGGAAUUACUGGGCGUAAAGCGUGCGCAGGCGGUUUUGUAAGCCAGAUGUGAAAGCCCCGGGCUCAACCUGGGAAUGGCAUUUGGGACUGCAAGGCUGGAGUAUGGCAGAGGAGACUAGAAUUCCUGGUGUAGCAGUGAAAUGCGUAGAUAUCAGGAGGAAUACCGAUGGCGAAGGCAGGUCUCUGGGCCGAUACUGACGCUGAGGAGCGAAAGCGUGGGUAGCAAACAGG